rnacentral:rRNA from 1 species
CGCUGGUCGGAAAUCUGGAAGGGCUUCCCGAGACCGGGGCCGUCCGACUGCGAGCUUCUGCUUCGCCAGACGCAUUUGACUCCCGCCCUAAGGACGCCGCAGCCGGUUGGGCAGCGAAAGCGUGAUGGCCUGAGGGGCGAACGAUGGCAGGUGGCCGGUGGCUUUCCUCGUGUUGGUCGCCGGUUGUUAGCCGGUUCGUCAGUGGCACAUCGCUCGACCGAGGUAUCACGAGGCCCUUCGGGGUUCUCACGUCUCCUCCCAAGGAAGCGGGACAGAACGUCGCAAGCGAAGGCAGCCGUCCCGUCGCACUCACGAGAGUGGACGGGCGAACUCUCGGCGCCGUUGGCGACGGCGGACCCGCGGGAGACAGGAGGCUCGCGGCGAGUAGGUCGGUCACCCACCCGACCCGUCUUGAAACACGGACCAAGGAGUCUAACAUGUGCGCGAGUCAAUGGGUCUUGAAUAGGCCCAGGGGCGCAAUGAAAGCAAAGGUCGGCUCCCGUCGACCGAGUUGGGAUCCCUCGUCUAACAGCGAGGGCGCACCAACGCCCCGUCCUAUCCGGCUCGCCGGUUGGGCGGAGUUUGAGCGUACACGUUGGGACCCGAAAGAUGGUGAACUAUGCCCGGACAGGACGAGGCCAGAG